GACACACUUAAUCAGCAGCUAUGGGGCCCUUAUUCAAAAUGGCCAGGUUAGGGUCCUCUUCUUAGGAUCAGAAGGCACUACUGACCACCAGCAUUCUUUCCAACCAGGCAGUUCCAUCCAGGAACAGGUAUCCAUGUUGGUAACUGGAUAAAAUCCUACGAACUUGUUGAGCCAAAAGAAAUGAGCAUUUUGAAGCCUUUGAACAUUUUGUCAAAUGACUCUCCAAGGUGCACAGAGAAUGUAAACUCUCGCUCAGCACCAAGCGCAGCAUCAUCAGUGCCUGUCAAAGUGCCUCGCAUAUAGUUCAUCCUCGAGAAAUACGUGUUGAAUAGAUGAAUGCACAGGAAAAAGGAAAUAAUUUUAGUAUUGCGCUAACCAAGCAUAAUAUUCAAGCUAAAUCUAAUAUAAAACUUACCACCAGCUGCCUUCCGGAAACAAGUAAAAAAAAAAAAAAAAAGGACAAGAGACACCACAAACAAUGGUGAGUCAAGACUGGUCAGUAACUACAUAUCCCAAAGCUCCAGCUGAAGAUGCCUCUCCUACAUUAGACUGAUCUAGGAGAAUCCAACCUAGUAUCAGCACCCCUUCACACCAAAUAUCAGCACCCCUCUGUCCCAUGGGAGGGCAGAGGUAAUGCUUGUACCAGUUCUCUAUGCCUGAGCCUUACCAGGGAGCCAGCACUGUAGCUAGUAUAUCACAUGCGUUAGCAUGCACAGGCCUCACAACUCUGCAGUAUCAUCAUUCCCACUCUUACAGAUAAGGAAACCGAGGCUCAGAGAGCUAUGGAUUAAGCUCAGCUCAAAGGAGUUGAGCAGAGGGAACUUUGAAUUGUGUCAGUAUUCCAGCACAUAUCUAUAUGACCCUAUAUACAUGCUUUCUGUACAAUUGCCCAGGAACCCCACAGCACUGCCAGUUGGAGAACAGGGGAGCCGAGGUGCCGGUCCCUGACCACUUCCCCUGUCUUGUGCUGAUUCUGGAUGCAGGAUGCAAAGAACCAUUUCCCUCAGCAUCUGAAAAGGAGGAAAUCCUUUCUAUCACAGAAAGCAGCUUGGGUUCUCAUGACAACUUCAAUGUCAGAGAGCUGAACCAACAUCAGAGAGUGCUCUUCAAGGACAGCCUCCCUCCUGGGCCCUCCUCUGCCUAGGUCACCAGGCCUCCAGACCCUGGGCCUCCAGAUCCCAGGCCAAAAAGCUGCUUGUAUUUCCUUACUCUCCCAGGGCCUCUCCUGAUACCUGGCCUCUGAAAUUCUUUCCACAUAUAAGGGUGCCCUCAGUGUUUGUGAAAGCAAGUGUUUCCAGGGUUUCAGGUGCUCCACAGAGAAACUUUCAUAGUCAUUCAAAAAGAUUAGCUUCUCUCUCUAAUUCACAUCAUCACCAAGGGAUAAAGCCUCACAGGUUACGGGCUGGAGCUUCUUCCUCUGAGGGUCUAACAGGAAAAGCUGGACAAGGAUAUAUUUGUUCUUUUCUACUUACAGCCCAAAAGAGUGGCACAGUCCCCAAAAAUACUUCAUUCUGUAGUUUUUUUAAAUAAAUGGACAAAAAAAUAAAACACUUGGUUUCUAGAUGGCCAGGUAAAAUAAGAAAAGAGCAUUUCCAGGGUUGAGUUGGCAGCCCUAUCUGUUGGUCUCUCCACUUCAGUGAGGUCCUCUGAAUGGUAAAUGAAUGAAGGCAGAAGAGGAGAGAAGAGCUUUUUCUGACCUCACACCAAAAAAUAACAGGAGAGUCAAGAAGGAAACAGGCAGAAGCCUGAAGGGAUAGGAACAAUGUGAAAAGUAGAGUAGGUCUGUGAGCUCCUUCCCCAAAUCCCUGCAUGGCCAGUUAGCCCAGAAAUACACCAGGGAAGAGCUCCACAAAGGGAGAGAAGCAUCCAGCAGCCAUGGCGCUUAUGACCAUCAUAAAAGGGACAGCAGUUCUGGAGAUGGGACUCUACCUGGCUGGUUUUUAGAUCAUACAGUCAGAUACAUAUUUGUUGAUCUAACUCAGCAUUGGUUUAUACUCAACCCUUCCCUUCCACAUGUCAAGCACACAAAUACACAUCCCAGAUUUACAAACUGACAGUUUCCAUUCCUGUGCGGAACGCCUUGGCUUAACUUGAAAGGCAUUUCAGAGGCUGAACUACUGAGACAGAUUCAACACGUACAGUGACACUCAGGCUGCUAGGUAGCGACUAGUCAACCCUUGGCCAGCAGCUGCCAGAUGAUUAAAAACCACACUGAAAUGAUCAGAUCCCUACGUGCAACCUGCAACUGAUGUGAGGACCUCCCUGUUUUGUAUUUUCUGUUGUUCUAACAAAAAAAGGAUCUUCUUAAAUCUAUUUCACGUAUUACAGUAGCCCGGACAUCAAAUGUUUCUCAGAGUGAAAUUAAAUAUAGCAUUUUAUUUGGAACAAGCCAUCCUAACUCAAUUUCCCUCCCCUGCAUUACCACAGAGAGACCUUCCAUUUGGCAGCUGAAAGAUGUGCUGAGCUCUAGGCUGGACGUAGGACUUCUUUCCAUGCUCUUGGUAAUCCAUCUGCUUCCUCUGCCCCAGUACAAGCACUACAGGAAUAAAAAAGGGAGUUUUGCCCCACUGCCCCUACACACUGCCUUUAGGGAAAAAUAUCCCUGUCUUUCCAGCACAGCCUAUCCAAGCUCCUGCAGAAUAUGGUGCUGCACCACCAGAAAUUAACUUCCUGAAGAAAAGUCAAUGAGUUUGCCAUAAAGCAGGUUUCCCUCUUUGGAGGAAGCCGGUCAUAUCUGGGAUAUUGUUGCAUGUUGUUGAUGAUUAACCUGCAGGAGCCUGGUUGUUAAUAAAUAUUUACUGGACAUCCACUGAGGGCUCUGCAUCUCGGGGAGUGAGAGGCUAUGGAGAAGCAAAGGAUGCUAGAGUAGGGACGUGGGAGGAACCCAGAGACCCCAAAACCCAAUGUGCUCACUUUGUAAAUGUAGUAACGGAGACCGAGAAAGAACCUGGUGUUGCCAAGGUCACAGCACCAUGUGGCAGCCCUGGCGACUUCCUGAAUCUCAGAUCAGGGCUUCUCCGAAGCUCUCUCCUAAGUGAGACAGGGGUAGAAGUGGAGACUGAAUAUCUAUCUCAAGUACGUAAAAGUGUCCGUGGAAGUCUCCAGUGACUCUGCAGUUACAGCUCCCAUUUCCCGAGGGCCUGAGCAGGGACCUGGCACCUAAGUUAUCUCUAACUUCCCAAACAAGUCUGAAGUAAGGACACUUAGGCUCAGAAUGAGGCCCAAGGUCACACCGAUCGUGAACGUGACAGGUGCAAUUUGAACCCAGUAGUGUCUGAUUCCAAAGCUGAAUAUAUGGAUAUGUUAGGAUGCCCACCUACCAUGUCACCUCACUUACUCCACCCUUGAGAUGGAACCAUCUCUGUAAAGAAACAAGGAUUAAACCAAAUCAAGUACAAAUGAAAACCCAGACUGCAAGGCAUCAUAGAAAGUAAGACUCAAUGUGUGUAUGUAUUUGCAUGAUUAAGCACACGCAGAGAAAGAAUACAUCUAGAUAUCAAGUGGUAAUUUUUAAAUUUUCUCCUUUAUAAAUUUCUGUUUUUCUCAAAUAUUAAAAUAGAUGAUUCUCAUUAAUCUGAAAUUAAUUUUUUAGGUUGUGGUAAAAUAUAUACAUGUAACAAAUUUUACAAACUUAACCAUUUUUAAGUGUACAAUUUAGUAGCAUUAAAAACAUUUACAUUGUUGUUUAACCAUCAUCUCCAUCCAUCUCCAGAACACUCUGCUAUUCUUGAAAAUCUGAAAUCCUGUACCCAUUAAACAACAGCUCCACAUUUCCCCCUCCACCAGCCCGUGGCAACCACCAUUCUACUUUUGUCUGUAUACAUUUGUCUAUUCUGGGUACCUCAUAUAAGUGGAAUCACACCAUAUUUCUCCUUUUGUGUCUGGCUGAUUUUAUUUAGCAUAAUGUUCUCAAGGUUCAUCCAUGUUGUAACAUGUAUCAGGAUUUCCUUCCUUUUUAAGGCUGAAUGAUAUUCCAUUGUAUGUAUAUACCACAUCCUGUUUAUCCAUUUAUCCAUAGAUGAAUACUUGGAUUGCAUCUGCUUUUUGGCCAUUACAAAUAAUGUUGAUAUGAACAUGGGCAAACAAAUACUUCCGAAAGCCCCUAGACUUUUUAAAUCCCGGAGUAUACUUUUAGAGUGUGCCACCGUGAAUUAAAAUCAGGAUACGCUUUCUAUUGAUCUCAGCCUGGAAAACAGCAAACUCUAUGCUGGAGUCUACACAUUUUGCCUUCUGCCUUUAAACCCCUCUAAACCAGUGGUUCUCAACGCUGGCUGCACACUAGAAUCACCUGGGGGUGCUUUUAAAAAAUACUGAUGUCCCAGCCCCAUGAAGGCCACUGAAUCAGAACUCCUCUGAGUUGAGGCAGAGGAAUUGAGUAUUUUUAAAAGGCUGCCCAGAUUAUUCUACUGUACAGACAGGAGUAAGAAUCAGUGUCCUGAAGCCUCUUCUUCUGGGGUCCCUUCUCUUUAUUUAAGAAAUCGCUGCCUUAUGAGUAAUUCCUCUUCUUUCCUCCCAUCAAAACCCAGAAGGGUUUGAUAACCAGUCAAUUGCCCUAGUUGUUUGACUGAUUGCAUUUCAACUGAAACAUUCGCUCCAAGGCCUUACCUCCUCCAGUUGAAGCCUUUUAUCUCUAAUUGUGGACUGCGUGCCUGCUUCUUUCUUGGAAGGAAUGUUGAUAUGAGUAAGCAGUUAGGGAAGUAUUUCUAGGCCUACUCAGUCCUUCAGGUAAUUAUAAUCUAGUCCUUUCAAGGCAGUAAGGACAAUAAGAGGGGCCAGAAGAUGUGGUCCCAGUCCAUAUCCAGUGCCCAACUGAGGCACUGAGCCGGCUCAAGAGGCCCCUUCCCAUCCUCACAUUUCAUCCCUAAGCCCUGGCCUCCCCUCGCUCUUGCCCAAGACCCCCAGCUAGUUAAUUGGCAUGCCCCAGGGACCUCUGGUGGUUUUUGCCCAGUUCUGUCUUUGCUAAUUUUCUUCUGUGACGGGGUUCCCUCCUCUAACACCCUAGGACACAUCUCUGCUGAGUGUGCUUUCUCUCUGGUUCUUGUGUUCUUGACAACAGAGCAUGUCAACUGAUGGGCAGCACAGUGACUUCGAGAACAGGAUGAGUUCCAAGCAUCUUUGUCAGAAAUUUCACAACCACAGCCGAUGUCACACUGGCGGCAGCAGGGCGUGUUCCAGGACACAGAUUCGCCAUCAGCUGCUCCCCAGGCAGGCAGGCCUGGGGCUCCAGGGCCCUUCAACUCACCUUGGGGCUCUUCUGCCUCUUUGCAAACAGCCCGCCAAACAGGGUAUUGGAAGCUGAAGCCAUGGCAGCAGCUCCAAGGACUGGCCCGUUUGGGAGAGAACAUGGUCCUUCCCUCUGCCAGGCCUACCCUGGAGCCGGUCCCUGAAGGGCUGGGACAUCCUGAGUCCUCCACAGGGGACUGGCUGCAGUGCCCCUUUAUGUCCACGUGCAAUGCUGCUGUAAAAGUGUCAACGGUGUGGGGGACAGGGACUUUGGUAGGAGCUCUGAAGAAAGACAGAGCAUGAGCUGGAGGAAUCAGGCCCCGAGGAAGGAGAGGAACCAAGCCUAGGAAGAGGGAGAGCGCAUCCCACCCAGAGGAACAGGCCCCACUCAGAACCCUUCUGCCCUCGCAGGCAUGCUGGGCCCUGCAAGCUGGCAAUCCAUCGGGGUAACAGAGCCCUCAGCACCACCACCUGAUCCACUGACCAGGAUCCAUCCUAGUAAGUGGGCAAGCUCGCGGAAAGGGAAUGAUGAGGAAGUGCGAAGGACAAGGAAAAUGAAGACUGAAGCCCCACUAAAUGCAACAGAACACCCACAAAUAGCAGAUUAAAUCCAAGCAAAGGGACUCAGAUUGACAUGUCUCUGAUGUCUCAGUGACCAGGGAACCCCAGAUAUGCCGGCAAACACGGCUUCGUUUCCCCAUCUCAUACAGCACACGUUUGCUGAGCCCUCCGACACACCCGCUGCAAUGCAGGUCCUCACUGCCUCUGGCUCCUCCCGACUUCACACCCGUGAGGUGCUCCAGUCCAAACCCAGACAGAGCCCCUCUGCCUCGCUGGGGGAAAAGGGGACGUGGGGAGAAGACACUGAACACUCCUCUUCUCUCUUCUUGAGUACCUCUUUUGGCGGGGAUGAGACAUGGCUGCACACUUUCUAGGUAAAGAAGCAGAAGCAUAGACUAGAAGGGAUGGGGUCAAAGGAACCUCACAUGUCCAUCAACCAUGUGCGCUAACUAGAAGUGUCUGCCUGUGGGUGAGUGCUGGGCCUACAGGGAAGACAGGAAGGGGGCUGGCGGUGAUGAGAACUGUGUAGUGAUGCUGUCACUGCAUUACAGCAUCAUGGGGACUCCCAGGAGUCAACUCCUACGGCCAUGCUGUAGCCAAGACCCACUCCAAGCACAUUUCUAUAAGCGAAGGAGUGUGGCGCAGGCAAACCGACAGAGGGAUGGAAGACAGACAGACUCAGGUUCAAACCGCAGGUCAGGGACAUUUUUAGCUCCAUGAAUUUGGGUUUCAGCUUUAAAACGAGACAUAAAAAACUGUAUCAUGGAUUAAAAAGAAUCGUGGUAUUAUUAUCAUGGUGAUAAUAUUUGUUCAGUAUUAUUAACUUAUUGCCAGCAGUUAGGCUUUCUUAAGAUAUUUCACAAUGAUUCACAUACUUGACCUCAUUUACCUGGAAAACAAUAAGAUUUUUGAGGUGUCUGCUGAAUAUGAAUGAAGUCGCCCUCAUAGAUUGUGAAUUGUAUGGAGCAGUUUCCCAGAUACACUGUUAAGUAGAAAAAAACAAAACAAUGCAGGACAGAAUGUAUCAGCGUUCCCAUCAGAGGUUUACAAAUCAAUAUACAUGUUUAUGCUUACUCAUGGACAGACCUCCUUGCAGGGGAGGCACUGGGAGGCUGGGGCAAGGGAGAAGAGAGACUUACCACUAUAUACCCUUUUGCAUAUUUUUGACUUUAUACCAUGUGUAUGUGCUACCUUUUAAAAAAAUACAUAGAAAAAUUAAAAGGACUAUUACUCUGAAAAAAGAGAAAGUAAAGCUGUUACAUGUUGCUGAAAGCUUUGGAUGAACUAGCACAGUAAAUAAGUGGCAAUGUGCUUCCUUAGCCCAACUGAGAGGUGUUCGCCAGGGACCCCGCACCCUAAGGAAGAGGCUAGGGUUACACAGAGGUGGCUGCAGUUUUUACUCCAUUGAUCGUUAAAGAGCCUGGUAGAGCAGUGCUGGCCUCAAGAUGGGCCACAGCAGCUGAAUGACACCCCUCUAGAGGUCACACUUGAUGGACUUGUGGAGGUCAACAAUGAUGGUAGCCAGGCGCAGUGGCUCACGUCUAUAACCCCAGCAAUUUGGGAGGCCAAGGCAGGUGGAUCACUUGAGGUCAGGAGUUCCAGACCAGCCUAGCCAACAUGGUGAAACCCCAUCUCUACUAAAACUGCAAAAAAUUAGCUGAGUGUGGUGGCGUGUGCCUGUAACCCCAGCUACUUGGGAAGCUGAGGCAAUAAAAUCUCUUGAACCCAGGAGGUGGAGGUUGCAGUGAGCUGAGAUUGCACCAUUGCACUCCAGCCUGGGUGACAUAGUGAGAUUCCCUCAAAAAAAAAAAAAAAAACAAUGUUGGUAAUUCUGUGCUCACACAACACCUCUUAUCCAAGGAGUGCAAGGUCCUCAGGCACACUCCUGGGGUCCCGGGCCCACCUCCCCGGAACAGGGAGCAGUCACUGAGGGCAUACAGGGCCAUCCCCUUCAGGCUCACCUUGCAGUGUGCAGUGUGGGGGCUCAGGGCACACCUAGGCUUCAUGUCGCUUCCAGCCACCUUGGCAGUUGCUCAACCUCUCCAUGCUUCAGUUUCCUUCUUUGUAAUUCAAGAAUAAUAAUAGUCCUAGUUCACGAAAUCAGUGUGAAGACUGAAUAAUGACCACACAUAGUAAGAACUAAGAUUUAUUGAACCAUGAUUUUAUUAUAAGCCCUGGACACAUAUGUAUCUGGUUGGAGUCCUGCAAUGGCAUUCUGAGGUAGAUACUAUUACUAUCCUUAUUUACAAGUGAGAAGUGGAGUCACAGAGGGGUCGAGCAAGUCACCCACAUCAUAGAAAUGGUGAGCAGGAGCCCAGAGCACUUCACAUGAACCCCUCCCUCAGCAGCGCCAACUUAAGGAACAUCCAGUUUCAGAUACGCGCUGCUUUAGAGAUGGACAAACUGAGGCACGAGGAGGCUGGAGCAGACUCUGCCUGCUCUUCCUCACAAGUUAUUGUAAUGCUGCGAAGGCACCCUUGAGGGACAGAUGCCAGAGAAGCAAGACAAGAAGCUAUGGUGGAGUUAUUGACUCUCAGCCUAAGGGCUGAAGGUGCAGGUCUUCCCUCCCCAAUGUGAGCGCCAGUUCCAGUCACAAAUCUCCUCUCAAAACUCGCGAUUCAGCCCUGCUGAUCAACUGCAGAGAAGGUGCCAUAAAAACCUGCUCAAAUCUCGAGGUGCCCCAAACAUGAGAAAACGGGCUACAGCUGCCGCUUAAAAAUGUGGAGGGAUGGACUGCAGGAGAAGGGGCAGUGCGAGAGCCAGCAGCCCAUCCGUGAAGAGAGGAGAAGCUGGGAAUGUGUAAGCAGAGCCAUAAAUCCCUUGUCAACGCUGCCUCUGUGCCUUCCCUCUGUGGACGGGGCCCGGGGCCUGGGAGGCCUGCAGAGGGGAAGGGAGCCUAGCAUUUAGCCUCUGAUGGCCAGAAAGAUAGCUCCACACAGUGUCUGUCAGAGCACCAGGAAAGCAGACACACUGAGAGUUUCACUCAUUAACAUCGGUGUUGCCAUGACAAUAAGCUGUUGCCAGGUAGCAGCGAACUAGGAGAAGAGUGAGAAUUAGCAAAGCCUAAAAAUAAAGCUGUUAUGUUUCUUCCCCCGUCUAGAUGUCCAUGUGUAACAGGCAAUAAUCUCGCCGCCUCCUCCUCACCCCAGCCCUGGAAGCCCACAUGGGACAGACAGGGCCCUGCACAGAAGGGGAAGGUCACCUCUCCAAGGGAGGCAGGGAGAACAGUACCUGAAGAUAGUGGUGGCCAAAAUCUGAAGGCCAGCAACAAGCAGCACCAGAGAAAGCUCAAAGUAACACCUGGGAGGGAUUUUUCCUUCCCUUAGGAAGUAGCUGACCUGAAGUGUUAACCUCAGCUCCAGAUUGGAACCGGGCCCUUCCAGGCUGUCAGAUGCCGGUCCAGCUCCUUGGCUCUGAAAGAAUGGGAAAUGGCAGGCGCUGGGGGUCCUGACUGACUUUUCUCCUGGAAAAUACUUAGCCGGGCCCCAGCCCCAGAGGCAUCUGUGGGAGUCAGGAGCCUAGACUGGGCACAUGGGCAGUUCCUGGUUGCUUUUAUAACUAUGCUACUGCCAGAGAAGCCACUGUGAUAACAAAUCCAAACAGGAGGAUAUUUUAACAAUCAAAAUCACUGAGCAAUUUGUUAAUAUCUCCAAGGGACAUGCAAUAGAAUUAUUUUCAGGAUCUUCCAGUUUGGCUCUGAUGUCAGAGGAGAAAAUGCAUGGUGUCCAGUUCUGUGCUUCCUCUGUCCAUCAUUCCCACCAGACUGUAAGCUCCAUGAAGGCAGAAAUCAUGUCUAACUGGUUACCCUCAUGACCGCAGCAUCUGCUGUCACCCCAGACACUUAGUCAGUGUGCAGUAAAUACACAGAGGAAAGAGGAAGAGAGGAAGGGGCAACUGGCUCAAGCAUAAUAGAGUCAACAUUCUAGAUAAAACAGUAAAGAUAUUAACAGUAAAAAUAUCUGGCCUAAAUAAAAUACAUCUCUUUCUAAAAUUAUAAGCUCUGCAUUCUAAGGACUGAAUCCUAUUCCUUAUCUCUCUAUUCUCAAAAAAUAAGUUAGCAAGUAUGCAGGUGUCAUGCUUUAAGCAGAUCAGAUUAGUUAAAAUCCAGAAUUUUGGGGCAAUGAUUUCCUUUAUAAGCAAUCGUAAGAUUUCCUCAAACACAGAACCUGCAUGAUCUCUCUAAAGUAAAAUGUGUUUAAUUCAGAUAAUAUGUAAUAAUCUGGAUCUAUACAUUGAAUGAAGCUAGCGGCAACCACAGGAUUCCUGGUUUCUUUCCUUGCAACCACACUUACCUUUGAGUUCUUUCUCUCUACCACAGGCUGAUGAGUGCUCAGGAAAUGCAAACAGUGGCUAAUUUUGCUAUCAGUGCAAGAAGCACACAUUUAGGAAACAAAAUUCAUUCUUUCUUUCACCAUCACCCCAUAAAAACAUAUAACCUGGAACAAAAUAUUAAUAAUUUCUUGGUUCUUUGACUGCUCUGGAUUACCCAGCCAUUGAUCCAAAUACCAGCUCCUGCCUCUAGUCCUCCAAGCUUGUGUGAAUAACUUAAAAGUAGCAGAAAGAGGCCGGGCGCGGUGGCUCAUGCCUAUAAUCCCAGCACUUUGGGAGGCUGAGGCGGGUGGAUCACCUGAGGUCAGGAGUUCAAGACCAGCCUGGCCAACGUGGUGAAACCCCAUCUCUACUAAAAAUACAAAAAAAUUAGCCGGGAGUGGUGGUGGGCGCCUGGAGUCCCAGCUACUGAGGCAGGAGAAUCGCUUGAACCUGGAAGGCAGAGGUUGCAGUGAGCCGAGACCAUGCCAUUGCACUCCAGCCUGGGAGACAAGAGCAAGACUCUGUCUCAAAAAAAAAGCAGCAGAAAGAGUAACAGAGUAACAGGUGAAAGAAAGGAGGAGCCAAAUGCAAAUGACUGGGAAUUUGAGGGCAAGCCCUGCUCAUGUCCCCCACAAGCCCCAACCUCCAAGCAAGACCAAACCUGCAUGAAUGACUUUACACUCUUGGAAGAAGGAGAGUCUGCUGGUGGGGUCCUAAUUAAUUAAUCAUAAAGAUGCAUAAGGCUUCUAGAGUUAAAGAGGCCUCAACAGAGGGUCAUAGAUUUACAAAACUACAGCAGCAAUAGCUAUCCAGUUUGCCUUUGGCCUCUAGAGAAGUUAAAGUUCACGGACAUACUCCUUCUCUACCAACAUGAGACACCCCAGACCUCUCCUGGUGAAGCCAUGUGCCCACAAAACCUGACGUUCUCACCACCAGGCACAGCCUGGACCAAUCCAAUAAGCUGCUGGAGCAUGGUUACUGCGAGGUGUAAGAAAGUGGGUAGCAUCCUGUAAACUACAAAAUCCCAAAUUAAAUCUGACCUUGACCUGACAGCCUGGGAGGACUCCUAAUUCAGGGAGCUCUGCCUGAUUGACUGCUCUCAUUGCUGACGCUGAAGGGACCUUCAUGCAAACACCCACCUUGAUUCCUGGGUUUUCAGUAGGGCCUUCCUUGACCACAGAACAAAGAAAAGUCAGUCCUGACACUAACUGGAGAAUAGAACUCUUUUGAAUGCUUUAUGUUCCUUUCUGCUAAAAUGCAUCCCAAGAGAUAGUUCCUCCAUCACUAUAACCAUCUUGAUACACAUAAUCCCAGUUUGCCCACUUGUAUACUUUCUUCCUUCUCUAUGGCAUAACAUACCAGUUAUAGCUGCAGAUUCAAUCGGAAAGGAGUUACCAGAGAGGAGAUGACACUGAACCUAGCUUCAAUCUGCCCCCAAACACAGCCUCCAGCAACACACUGGGGUCCUGGCAGAUGAUCAAGAAAGGUAUGUUGCAUGACUGAAUGACUGAAUGAAAAAAUUAACUUAAUGCUUUUUUCUCUAAUACACUUUGAUCAAUGAAAUGUUUCUAAACUUUGAAACUUGGACCCUGUCCUCUGAGAUUCUGCCAGUCUAACAUUGAUCAUGUUUGCCUCAACUUCCAGAUCAUGCAGCACAAAAUGUCAGUGUCAGCACAAGCACCAUGUGAACUGGGUUAAAAAUCCACUUAUAAACUUGAGUCAUCAAACCCCCCACCAAUUUCCCAGACUUCAGGAUGGAGGUACCAACAUCAAUCCCAGGCUUCCUCCUAGGAAAGAGAAGCAAGGCUAGCUAUUUAAAUGCCUCCAAAGAAAGAGGGCAUAAGUCUUAAUGCUAUUGUGAUAAGCACUAUCAUCACAUCCCACUGAUGGUAUGCACCAUUACAUAUGCCACUGUUUCAGCCUACCCCCUUCCUCAACUCCCAACUAUGCAAAGAGUUCAUAUUUUCUAUCACAUCCCUGGGAAACAAAGCUCUGGGACCCUAAUGAAACUGUUGAAACAUAGACAUACCCUGAUUCUCACUUGCCUCCUAGAUGUUCUAUUGCAAAAGCAUUCAGAUAAAAACAUAUCACAUCAAGACGAAGAUCAGAUUCCCCUCUCUGUCCUUCCUUCCUGCCUGCCACAGAUACAUUUGUUUUCUUACUUUGCAUCUGCCAUUUUUAGAAACGAGUUGAAAGUAAAAUUCGAACCUCUCCUGGAGAAAAGGAUAAGCAUCUCUUUCUCUCUUUCAAUCUCUCUCUCUCUCUCUUCCCUCCUUCCCUCUCUGGCAUGUGUUACUGAAUUUUAUAUAGCUUGACUUGCUGCAUCUCUGAUAUGAGCCACUUAUAUACACAACAUAACCAGACACACAUUUUUAAGAGUAUGCAGCACUUAAAAUAACUGUAUCUUAAACCUUCUGAUUUUAGUUGAGAAUUUGAUUUAGGGACUGGAUGGAUCUUGGCUCUUGAGGAAACAAAGCAAUUACUAUUUUAAAGGCAUACGAACAUAAUCUUUAAGGAGUCCAUUAACUGAAAAGUAGAGAAAUCUGACUUGCUUCUUGCCCCAUCAGAUUCCCUUGGAAGUAUAAAUAUCCCUCUAUGAAUAUUUUCCAGAGAUGAGCUUUCUGAAGCUCAAGAUAGUUAUUCUAAACUUCAGCUCCCUCAAUUGUAUUUCUAAAAUAUAAUUCGGAUUCUUUAUUCUUGGGUAAACAACUGGUAAUAGGGCGCUGUGUGACAGUGGUACCAGCCAGUGAACCACCUUAUGAAACAGCACCCCAGCUACAGAGCAGCCACGGGCGUGCCUCCCUCCCUCCCUCGCUCCCUUUCACACAGAUGGAGCGCCAUUUGUCUUCAGAGAGCCACCAAACUUCAAGCACACUAUGACUCCUCCCCGUGCAUUUCUUACUAUUACAACCAUCAAACAUACCCCUUCCCACUCCUUUGUUCAUAAGGAUUGUUGGUGUUUGUUUUACUUGGUUUUCUUUCAGACCAUACUGAUUUAUAGAGGGGAGGCUUACACAAUUUUUUAGGAUGAUUAUUGUUUUUAUGAAAACAAAUCCUUAUAAUCACAUACCUCAUCCAAAACCAAGACUUCACUGUGGUACUGUGUGACUCGUUGCGUCUUACUGAUAGAAGUGGCAGGCAUGGGAACCAGGGGGGUGAUAGCUACAAGAUUUCAUACCAGGUGCUGCACAAACACCGCCGUCAGCAUGGACACUGCUGGCCAGGAGAGCUGGCGCGGGGCUCUGCAGCCCUCAGCUUUGCCAUGCACAAACUCUCUAUUUACUGGAUGGGGGUGAGGCCCAGGGCUCUGGGGCAGGGAUCACGGUGCUGGAGCACUUUGAUUAGAAUCAUUAGAGUGGUCAGGUCACAGGUUUCUCUAUUAUUUCAACGUAGGGUACUUAAACCCUAAGUUAGACCCUUAGGUUAAGCCAGGUGGAACACCCUCCAAGAACACAGGACAGUUGUUAUUGGGUAAAAUAUAUUUCCUGGAUUGGGACGAAAGAGGAUGGAUAGCCUAUACCUCUGGCUUCAUUAGCUUACCUACCCCUGGGGUCCAAUUUGGGCUGAUCUUCAGCUACUGUACAUGGUAAAACACUGUGUGGGUUGGUAAAUAUCAGUGCCCUGAGUCCCUCAAAUGCCGCCCACCACCCAGACAUCCUUCCUUAGGUCCCUGGAGCUUCCCUCCAAUGCACUGCAUAGCGGAUUUAUGCCUAGGGGACAGAGGGCUCCAGAGCCUGCCAGCUCCCUAAGCCAGGGGCAUCCACUCUGACGGGCACUGCAGUGCCAGGUGUUAAUAACAUGGGCAGCCCUCAUCAAGACCUUGUCUUAAGGCCAUCUCAGCUAAGAUAACUGUCCUAGCCAAAGCCACAGCAGCCUCUCAGAUGUGCACGUCAUCUCCCCUCUCUGAGCAGUGCGUUGUCUAGCUGUUCUUCUCUUUUAGCACAUUGUAACUUUUCUACCUUGAAUCAUGUUGUGCUGUGUUUUUUUAAUGUCUUCUCACUCCUCUUAGACAUAGAGAAGUUCAGGCUGGGCAUCAUGCUACGUUUUCCGCUUCCUUGCUUAUCACUUUAUACUUAGCACAGCACCUGUGCAUGACAGGUACUUAAGGAACAUUCAUUGAGAGAAACUGCUAAAGUCUGAAAUUCCAACAGCCAUGGCGUAUGUGGUUGCUACCCAUCCUCUCCAGCCCUGCCGUCCUCAAAGGUCCACUAAUUUGGCUGUGUACCUCCUUGUGCUAUUUGUUAUGUUCCUUAUAUGAAUGCUCCAUUCUUAUUGUUUGUUCUGUCUCCCUAAAAAACUAUCCACGCCUUGAAGAUAGGGACCAUGUGUAAAAAGGCACACAUCAAUAAGCCUUUCCUGAAAGUCAGAUGUUCUGUGGGAAAUGCUAGCCAAUUUCUCAUGGGUUUUUUUUGUUUGUUUUGUUUUGUUUUUGAGACAGGGUCUGGCUCUGUCUCCCAGGCUGGAGUACAGUGGCGCGAUCUCAACUCUCAGCUUAUUGCAGCCUCAACUUCCUGGGCCCAAGUAAUCAUCCUGUGUCAGCCUCCAGAAUAAAUGAGACUAUAGGCGCACACCACCACACCUGACUAAUUUUUUUACUUUUUUUUGUAGAGAUGAGGUGUUGCUAUGUUGCCCAGGCUGGUCUCCAACUCCUGAGCUCAGUUAGCCUCCCACCUCCGUCUCCCAAAAUGCUGGGAUUACAGGCUUGAGCCACUGUACCUGGCCUAUUUCUCAUCUUUUAAAUAAGAAAAAUUAUAAUGCAUUACAUGUCAACUCAAAGCCAGUUUCCUAAAAUGUAACCAAAACACUUCAUCAUGUAUUUCCUAAAAUGUAACCAAAUACAGCAUAAAGUCUAUUAUAUAGUAUAACUAUCACAUAAACUAUCACAAUGGAUAUAACGUGCUUAAAAUAGCACUUCCUGACCUCUCUGCUUAAUAUGCAGAAGCCCGUCAGCUGACUUCACACAGCCCCAUGGAAGGGCCAAACAAAUGACCUCUUUCUAGGAAGAAUGUCAGCCAGAAAAAGGGAAGGGAAGAGUCCAGGUGUGUCAUGGGUCAGGAAAGCAGCCUGGUCUAUCCCCCAAAUCCUGGCUCUGCAAAUCCUCCAACACAUGUGGCCAAGAUGUGUCUUGCCUUGGGAAGGGAAAGAUGCUCCUCAAAUGUGGUCCUGGGGCCCAGACACAUCCUCAAAGCACGUCCCCUUUAUUGACACUCAACGGGCUCUACACAACACCCACAAGUGAUUCCCACAUUCUAUCAACUGUACUUGAAAUGUAACUCAAGACUUCACUAAAAUGUUAUAUUGCGUUUGGAGGCUGUAAAUAUAAUUUCCUAUAUAAACAGCAGCUUAAAAUCAUUUUAUUAAAAUAUGUGCAUAAAAUAUGAAGCAUGGGUAUUAAAAAUCCAAAAUGUAUUCUCCCAGGAACAUGUUAAUGUGGGAGAUGGUCUGCAGGAUAAAUCUGUACUCCUAAAUCUUCACCACCCUUCACACAACAAUGGGUCCAUUACAUGCACACAAUAUGCACCUAUGGACUACCUAGUUAGUAGACAUGACAGCUAACAGAAUAAAUUAGACUAGGUUGGAGAGCAAGAGAAAUCUAAAACUGGCCAUGCUGGCUAUUCAAGAGAGAAAAGGAACAAAGAACAAACACUCAUUGGACACUCACUAUGAAGCAGGCAUGUGGUAGGUAGGGAGGUGGGUACACACGUCAUUUCAUUGAAUACUCAUGACAACUCAAAAAGGGCGGUGUUACUAGCCCCAUUUUGCAGAUAAAAAUGCUGAGUCUCAGACUGGAUAAGUGACUUGGCCAAAAGCUACACAACUACUCAGCGGUGAAAUCUAGAAUCAAAUGCAGGCUCCACUCCAAAGCCCGAGCUCUUUCCACAUCUCACAGUGCCUCCUCUCGGAUCCGAAGCAGCCUCCACUUCCCAUGCUCUGCCAUUCUCCCAACCCUCAGAGUCUCAUUUGCUUUUUUAAAAUACUACUCUGCACUUCCGAAAAUACAAAUCUACAUUUCAUAAGUCAUCAACUGGCCUUCUUCCCUCUGGAUGUCAUUCCAAGGGCUGGGUUGUAAGUCUCCUGGAGCUCCUUAGAAGGGCCGGAUCUCAAGCAGGCUCCCAGGAUGCUACAGACACGGUUUACACGUCUGCAGGUCUGUCCAGCUCGCCCUCCCCCCCGUAAAUACUCCUCAAAUCAGGGUAAUCCCCACUGCAGUCAUGUACAUGGUGACAGACUGAAUGUGUCCCCCCAAAUUCCUAUGCUGAAAUCCUAGCCCCCAAUGUGAUGAUAUUGGGGUAGGGGCUUUCAUAGGCAAUUAGGUCAUGGGGUAGAGCACUCAUGAAUGAGAUUAACACUCUCAGAGACUCCAGGGAGCUCUCUCACCCCUUCCACUAUAUGAGGACACAGUGAGGAGACAAAUGUCCACGAGCCAGGAAGAAUGCCCUCACCAGACACCAAAUCUGCUGGCACCUUGAUCCUGGGGCUGCCCAGCCUCCAGAUCUGUGAGAAAUACAUUUCCAUCUUUGUAGUCCCCCAACUGCAGUAUUUUGUUAUAGGAGCCUGAGCAAACUAAGAUGACCCCAAACCUUCUGCCUACUUCCUACUUUGAAAACUCAGCCGGAGCGGAUGCUACUGCCACUGUUUACUCAUUCUGCAGCUACUAAGAUGCCAGCACUUGCAAUGCACAGGACCCCAACUCAUGCAGUUUACCAUCUACUGGGGGUGACAGAUAAUAAAUAUACAAAUAAAUAUAGAAUUACACAUUGUUUUCAGUGCUAUAGGAGCCAAGAGCACCACAGGGCAAGAUGAAAGGUUAAGGUAAUUUAGAAUAGGAGUCUAAAGCAGACUUUUCACAUUAAGUGACACAUAAUGAGUCCUGAAGAGAAAGCCAAAUUAAGAGCGAGUGCUUCUGGGCAGUCCCCCUCCUGCCUGUACCCAGGCUACACGCCCUGCUCCCACCAGCCAAGCUCCACAGCCAAGGGUGGACACCUGGCCUCUCAGGACUGGUUCAGGUCACGCUGCACCUCUACACACUGGCUUUCCCAGUGUAACGUGCAGAAAUCUGUUGCCUGGUUUCACCCAGCCCUUCAGAAGUGCCCAAAUACAUGGCUUCCUUCUAGAAAGGCUGGCAGCCAGGAAAGGGAAAGAGGAAGGGCAGGGCCCUGGGACUGCUGUGGGUGGAAGAGCUCACUGGCUUCGCAGAGCCUCCCACACAUGUGGCCAAGACCUUCUCCCUGGGAAGGGAGGAGGUUCUUUGGGGAGGAACAUGAGCAUGAGGGAAUGAGUAUAUAAAGAGGUUUUAAAUGUCCCUCGUCUGCUUCUGAUUCAUUCCUAACUCAUCACAUUGUUGUUUUGCAAGCAUCGUUUAAUGUCCAAAAGACUGCAGAGCCUCCUGGCCCCACAUGAAGGGGCAGAAAUCACAUGCAGCAAAGACCUGUGCCGGGGACCUGGGCCCUGAGAUUUGGCCAGAAGUAGGCCUAUAGGUCACUUCACUCAGUUCCAUCCCCUUGGGCUCUGUCUAGCAAGCUCUCUGGUGUGAAAAUAUAUCCCAAAUGCACGCAUCCCAGGACCAAGUAUAAAGGCAGAGGAGAUGCCAGAGGGCCCCAAGGAGAUACAAUGUGCUUCUUGGCUGGGUGAAGCCAUGAUGGGCUGGUGGGUGACCCUGAAGGAGCAGUGUCCCCCAGUGCGCUCUUUCCCUACAUUCAGAAAACCGCCCUAAGAAUGCAGAUCCCUGGGGGUACAGGUACUGGCUUGGCCAUAGGAUUGCAGCCGCCUCCACAAUCCUGACUCCUAAUCCAUCCUGUGUCUAACAGAGGCCCAGAGCAGUCUGCUCUGCGGGAGGUGGCGAGAAGCCAGUGGGGGACUUCUGGUUGCUGCAAUACCUGGGUAGGGAACUGAAUGCAGGUAAAAGCCAAGGAUCCUAAACCUUCAAGGAUCCUUAACCUUAACCAAGGUCUACCCUUCAGUGGGUGAGACAGCCCCCAACAACGAACAGUCCCUGCCAAAAUGCCAACAGCACCACAACUGAGGGGGACUGUAAGAAGUAGAAGUCCAAUGUCCAUAAUUGUUCCUAUGGGGACAUGAGGACAGGACAGCAUGGAGACAGAUCGCAGGUGGACAUCCCAUCCUAUACCACCUUCUCAGUCCUGGCUGGUCGCUCCCGUGGCCUGAUACUUUGAAUAGUUUGCAGGCACUUCCCUUCAUGGAAAAGACUAUGUAUGUUUCACUAUAGACAGGGUAUACAUGGCUACACUCCCAGCAUGGAAAUCAAGACCUUUCUAAAUUCCCCAGAGAACUUUAAUACGAUCCCCAUGUGGAUUCCAUUCACAUAGAAAAAAAGAAAACUUUCGGUGUACAAACGGCCAGCUCCUAGGUUUCUAGGAUCGUACUUGGGUUUCCAGAAGCAAAGCAUCUCUUCAUAGAGAAGAGAGGUCCUCUCCUUGGAUGCAGACUUGGGAACCUCUGUCAGACAGACAACUUCAUCUCCGGGGCUUGAAGCAUUCUCAAGGCCCAGGGUCCUUUAUCCUCAAGCCUCAUUCCACCCUCUGCUCAUGGGGAAGAGGACAACAGAGCUCAGAAUUUGGUCAUGAAACAUUUUUAAAUUAAAUAAGGGUCUAAGGAUGCUUCAGGUGAGACACUCCUUCCCAUGUGAAGCAAGGCCCCUUCCUCUUCUCCACUGUGGCUGUUAGUGGUGGCAGAGCUGCCUUCGAGGAGGAAGGGGCAGAAGAGGCACCACCCAGAUGGUGUGGUUCUGAAGGACCAAGAAGAGGACUGAAGGUCCCCAUCCCCCAAAACAACUUCCAUACCUGUUAAUAAGUGAUUGAAAUGUCUUUAAAUGAUUCAAGAGAAGACUUAAAAUAAGAAAUAUCUAAUAUUCAUGCUGAGCUAUAUAUGACUACUAUUUAGUUCUUCAGUUCUGGUGCAGGUUUCAACCGAGAUAAAGACUUAAAUGUGUACAAUAGCAUUGAUUAGCUGGAGGGAAAUGGGGACCAGGCUUUAUGAAAUUAGGAAAAAGACACAAAGUAAGAGCCUGUGCACCCAAAGCAUGCAGGCCUCAGCUGAACGAGCAGUGAGGUCCCAGGCAGGCCACACGGCAGCCUGGGCUCAGUGAACCCGUGUGGAAAGACAAAGACUGAACUGGCUGUUCUUUAAGGCUUUCCAAGUCUAAAAUCCUCUAAGUCAAACCAAUUUAUCAAAAGCAAUGCCUGUGCAUUGUGAAGGCCCAGCUCAGUCAAGGGGAAACAAAGGCCCAUGAUCAUUAUCAUUUCUCUAAUCAUUAUAACAAAAGACAUUCUUGCACGUGAUGAAGAACUAGAAAAAUACAAAUGGUCAGUAUCUUCUGAGUCCUUGCCAGGAAGACAAAUGAUAAAGUUGGAAUCAUUGCCUACCCAGAAGCACUCCCUCCUUCUCCCUUGCUGGGAGUGCCCAGAUUUUGUUUGGAUGUCACCUCUCCCCAAGCAAUGGAGGCACAUCACAAUUCACCCAAGCCAAUCCCAUCCUCUCUGCUAAAGAGAUAUCUGGCCAGCCCCUGGCCAAUAAAGCAUGGCAGAGUCUGCUGGAGGGUUCUUGGAGAGGGUUCCUCACUCAAGGAAGACAUGCUCUCCUGUUCCUCCUGGAAUUCCCUCUCCCAGAACUUGAUAUGUGACACAAUAACUUGUUGUUAGGAUCAUGAGGACACUUGCAGCCAAAAGCAACCUGACUGACACACAAGCAGUAAAAAAAGUGACAUUUAUAGCAAGGAUAAAUACAUGCUAGAAGUACAGAAAGAAAAGCUAAUUCCUUUGACAUUUCCCAGAUGGGCAGCAAAGAUCUAAGGGAAGACAUUUCCAGUCUUCUGUUCAGUCUGGGAGAACACAGAGAAAGAUGUAGAAUUUCUCUGGGACUCUGUAUGGACAGGCGACUCCUAAGAGGAGGAGCCAGGCUGAGCAAUGGAGAAAAAAGUGUUAGUGGGUUUGUAGCACAAUGGUAUUGAAUUAUACUGCAUUUUAGGGCUUUAUAACCUAACAGAUAAGAACAUCAAACUAUUAUUGAGGAAAUUAAAUUGAUCUUUCAGGCUCAAUUAUUGAAACUCCAACUGUGGCUAAGUUGCAGGGAAGGUCCCCCACCUUCUCUGUGCCCUUCUUUAUUUUUUGGAAUGUCCUAUCCUGGGACUGUGUGUGUGAUUCUCUGAGCACUGAGUGGAGAGACAAAGCUGUAAGACUCUCAAUUCUGGGAAAGGGGAGGAGGAAUCAACAUGGCAGCCAACCUCAGAAAGAUAAACCACCACUCUUAAGGAACUCUGAAGUCUAGAAAAAUACGUUUUUUAGGAAGCUUAGCUCUUUCCAAAAAAUGAGAUAUUGCAAAAAAGAAUACUAAUCUAAUGGUUUUUCAAACAGAUGUCUAGGCUACCUUCAUUGGAUAAAAGCACAUUCAAGCCCCAGAGUGAAUGGCCCUCUUUGAAACCAACCUAAACCUCAGAACCUUUGGAAAGCUUUCCCCUUCCCCAUUAGCACUUGCUGUCUGGCUCCUCCUGGUAGGGUCUGCCAGAUCUCCAGGGCUGCCUCCAGCUCAUCUGAGGGGUCCCAGCUCAUAUGCCACCCCUCAGAAAGCCUUCCCCAAUCCUUCAAUCUAAGUAACUCCCACAGCUACCAUCGCAACAUUCUACUUGCUUUCUUUGUCAGCCCUUGUCAUUCCCAGAAUAAUGUCAUUUGUUUAUUGUGUAUCUAUCCCGGUUCCUGCAACAGAAUAUAAGCUUCAUGGGAGUAGGGGCCUUGCCCUGUCACCACCGUAUCCUCAGACUCCAGAACAAGGUUUCUCAACCUCACACUAUUGACACUAAUGACAUUUUGUGCCAGAUGAUUCUUUGUUGUGGGGCUGUCCUGUGCAUGACAGGAUGUUUAGCGGCAUCCCUGGCCUCCACCCGCUAGAUGCCAGUAGCAACCUCCCACCCACCCUGACAAUCAAAAAUGUUCCUAGACAUUGACAGCUGCCCCUGGAAGGCAAAAUCAUCCCUAGGUUAGAACCACUGCUCUAGAAUAGUGCCUGACACUUGGUAAACACUCCUCAAGAGUCUGCUGAAGGAUUUACCCCUUACAGACUGAGUACUGAAUAAAAGCAUUCACAGGAGAGUUUUUACACAUUACUAACCUUCCUAAUGGAUAUAUUGAUACAGAGAAACUCCUGAGUGUUGUCUGGAUUAAAACAGAAUAAUAACAGAAUCGAGGGUCCAUCCAUUCAUUCAUCCUUAUAAUAAAUUUUUGUUGAGCGUUCACCAUGUGCAGGCACUGCUCAGUGCUAAGGAUACAGCAGAGAACAGAGAACAUUCUGGUGGGAGGCAGACAAAAAAUAAGUAAAUAAAUGAGAUCAUUUCAGAUAGUAAUUGUGCUAUGAAAAAAAUAAGACAGAACCAUGGGCUCCUGAGUGAUUCCUGGGAGUGAGGAGCUGGGAGGAUGGUAGCACUUUUUUUUAUUAUUGGUAUUAUUUUUGAGCCAGGGUCUCACUCUUUUGCUCAGACUGAGUGCAGUGAUAUGGUCCUGCCUCACUGCAGCUUUGACCUCCCGGCUGAAGUAAAUGGUGCCACUUUAGAUAGGCAUCCGCAGAGGCCUCUCUGUGGUGGUAACCCAUGCUCUGGGACCUGACAGAGGAAAAGGGAUGGGGGCAACGCCUGUGGGGAAGAGCAGUCCAAGAAGAUGGAAUGCAGUUUGCCCCUGAACAACGUGGGGACUGGGGGUGCUGACUCCCUUACAGUCGAAAAUCCAAGUAACUUCUUACUCCCCAGAGACUUAACUACUCUUAGCCUACUAUUGACCAGGAGGCUCACCAACAGGAUAGUCGAUGAACACAUAUUUUAUAUGUUGUAUGUAUUUUAUGUUGUAUUCUUACAGUAGAGUAAGCUAGAGAAAAGAAUAUGUUAUUAAGAAAAUCCUAAAGCAGAAAAAAUACAUUUACUAUUCAUUAAGUAGAAGUGGACCAUCCUAAAGGUUUUCACCCUCAUCGUCUUCACGUUGAGUAGACUGAGGAGGAGGAAGGGGAGGGGUUGGUCUUGCCAUCUCUGGGGUGGCAGAGGCGGAAGGAAAUCCACGUGUAAGUGACCCACACAGUUCAAACCCGUACUGUUCAAGGGUCAGCUGUAGCAAGUGCAACAUCCCUGAGGCCAGAACAAGCGUGGCCCUCUCCUGGUACUGAAAGAAACUGGGUAGUGAGGAAGUAUAAUUCGUGGCUGGGAGGGGAGUUGAGGGGAUGGUGUAGGGGAGGCAGCAGGACAGAGGUCGGGGGAUUCACGCUUAAAAGUCUACCAAGAUGUCACGGACAUGAUCAUGAUCAAAUGACUUGGAGCCACUCGAUGCAUCUCAAAAAGGACAAACUUGCAACAAAUCUCAGGCAACAGGACUUUAUGCAGCCAAUACUUAAUUUAUAAAGGUUGAAAUAUUUACUGCAGGAAAAGUUCUUUAAAGAUCUGUUGAUAAUAAACCAUAACCUAUGAUUAAGAAAAAAUAGCAUAUAGUAAAAUGCAUCCUCACCUUGGAAACUUUAAAAAAAUCACCUAAGAUGACUAUGCCUCUCUCUGAUGUGGUGGGAAUGAGGGCCGGUCACAGCAGCCACCGGAUGACAGCACGUAGUGGGCAGUUUCCUUGCCCGUUCCCUUACUAGCCAGAACCCCCUGUCUCUCCCCCACACCUCCCACCUCUGCCUGCCUUACCCUGGUGGAAACUGCAAGCCACAGAGAAGAAAAUAAAAAGAAUUCAUAUCAAAGACAUUGUGUAAAUUUGCCUUUUCCUCCAAGCCUGGUUCAAUUUCUGUUUUUUAAAAUCGAAGUCCUCACAAUUUGGUAACGUGGAGAAGCACAGAGAUUACACCCCCAUGUAGGUGCAGUGCCUACAAUACGCGGAGCUGUAAUUAAUUGUUAAACGGUGAGUCAUCCUCAUGCCGGAGGAACACAUUUAAAUAGUCGCAGAGGGGAGGCCUCCGGUUCCACAGAGACAAGAAAUUCUCCUGGCCGCCAACAGCAGCCUCCUCAGAAGCCGCCUCUCUGGGGGGAGGCAGAGGCGGGGAGAGGGGCAGGCAGAGCUCCAGGUAAUCAGCCCCUGCUUGCUGCAGAAGAUGCUGCCAGAUCUGGGUAUUGUCUUAAAGGAUGAAGGCACAAACACAAGCACCUUGCUUCCCGAGGACGCCCUUUGCUGUAGGCUGCACUGUGCUACAGCCUUGGAUGCGAACUCGGCCUCGACUCCCAGCCAGGGCGGGUGUCCUCAUUUCAAGGCCUGCUCACCCUCUGGGCCAGGCAAGCUGCAUAAUGAGAGAAGGUGAUUUCCAUACGGGGGCCUUCCGGUAGUAAAAAUUCAUUUAGGAGAAAAUAAAUUUGAAUUAAACUUACAAAACCCAGAACAUGUAAAUCAAGAAAGCAUUCCAAAUGAAACCGCAGCUUGGUUUGGAAAUCAUCUCUUAACACUGCAGUUCUAGACCUGAGUUCAUUUCCGCACUGAACCGAUCAGUAGGUGCUUAUUUUCAGAAGCUCUGGUUCUAUUAAAGGGUCCUCAAAACUGUCAGAUUUUGAAAUUAGUAAAAUCAAUUUCAGUUUGGUGCUACUGGUUCAAAAAUUAAUCUUCCCCCAAUUUGGUUCUAUUCAAUCAUUGACUUAAAUGUGAGAAAAUCUCACUUCUCUGGAUGUUUUUGGAGGAGGGGAAAGGAAGGAAGUCUUGACUGAUUAAAAAAUUUCAAAUUUCUGAUUUUUGAAGAAAGGCGGUUUUAGUACUUGCACUGAACAUAUUAUAGGCUAAGAUUUAAAUGAACACUAAUAAGCAAAAUUCAGUUAGUCACUGAAAAAUUACUAGCCAUAAUAGGGCUUUAUUACAUAAUAAUGAGUGACAUUAUAUCACUGAGUCUUAAUUUUUUAAAUCAACGGGAAACACGGUUUGUGUCAGAUUUCCUGGGGUACAGUCUGAAUGUACGCUGCCUGGCAUUAAACUGAGCAUUCUCAACAGUCAAUGAGAAGAUCCAGUGGACACAAGAUGCAGGGGGAUGGGGGCAGCAAGGAGGUCUCCCCAGAGAGGAAAACAUGAAUUUCCAAGCGUGGAAUCUCAGUUUACACACUGUAACAGGGAAAAGCAGCAGAGAGAGUGAUGGGAUUUAAACUUCCCUAGGGCGUGGUGGGUAUGUUCUCGGCCAAGGUGGAGGCCAGUGUGUUGCAUGCUCCUGGUUCUGCCAGCUUCCACUCCUGAUCUCAGAAGCACAGCACAGCGCCUGGAAGGAGGCAGGUGUUCAGGGCCAGCCUUGUACCUCACGGAAAGCCAGGCUCUGGAGGUAGCACCGGGCGUUGGAUUGCUGACCUAGAAAGGGUCAGCAUUUACUUUGCUGGGCAGCUCCAGCCCGCCUUUUCUGAGCAAAAGGCAGGUGGCUAACAGGUUCUGUCUUCCUCAAAACCUGAGAAGCCCUAGAACUUCCGCUUUCCCCAGCCCACCUGGCUCCUAACAACUCUGGACCCGUUGGUCUGGGGCAGAUCUGAAAAGCCCAGGAGCGGUUUUUCAGGAGGCCGUGUGGCUGCACACACCCAUGACCAUAAGGCUAAACCCUGCUGCUCUGGUUGCUGCUUCCCCGGGACUGCCUGCAGACACCCAGUUACCUCUUGCUCCUCAUGGCCCUCACAGCAGAGUAAAGAUGCAUAAAGCAACUGUCUUUUACGCUUCGGUGUAAAUAUGUUCAUGUGCUGGCUGGAACCGCUGAAGGCCUUCAGGGAGUCUGCAACUGCAAUUCUACAUUAUCCAUUUGCAAAAAUACUAUUUUCCAUUAUGAUUUAUGGCAACCAUAUAGUGUGUCAGCUGUGUUAUGCAUUAAACAGGCCAGCCUGGAAAACUAAAUGCCAUUUGCAGUUUUCUAAGUUUGAAACACCAACUUAAUAAUAAAUAAAAGAGCAGUUCAAAAGUUGGGAAUCAUCUAUAAAUCAUUUCUGUGUGAAAAACUCAAAAUAUCUUAUCAAUCAGGCCUCAUUUGGGCUUUCACAACACCUAAGCUGGGAAAUUCUGACUUGACUUUAUCACAAUUUAUCAACUGAGCGUAGCAGAGAAUCCUAGAUUCAUUACUUCCCACUAAGAAGUGGUUAACUGUUAGACUAAGCUGACAAAUCACAAGUAUCCAGGCCAGACAGACAAGAGGAGCUUCCUAAACCAACAGAAGGACCCCAGACUCCUUGCCCCAGGUACACUGCACUAAACCAGCCUGUCCCAUCCACUUUAAGUACAAAAGGAAGUCUCAAGACAGUUCUCAUCAGUUACAUCAUAAUCUCUAAAGCAGAAGUUAUUGGAAGACAGGCUGAAGGAUCCCAGUAAGCUCCACAUCCCUGAAGUAAGCCCUACUCCACUAAGAUCUACUUAGUAGGGAUGGUACACUUGGUACACAGGCUGGGGGCCAUCUGAUCUGAAGACUCCUCUGCCAGAGAUGCUCCAGGAGCUUGGACCAUGUGGCCUCAGGAGUCUCUUUCUCCCAAAGGCUGGGGUUUCCAGGGUUGCUGACAUAAAAUGAAGGAGUGGACUAAAUGGUCACUGUGGGCCCAGAUCUGACAUAUGAAUUCUGGGCUCGGGGCUUAAGGGAAGUCCCUUCCCGGUUUAAACAUUCCCUAUCCUAAGCACUGUCGAAUUCCAGGUGCAGAGCUAGAGCUAGAGUAAUAUAAUCUUGUGACUCCCUGAAAAAUCGGUUCUAAAAUUAUUUCCCUAUUCUGUUUAGGAUGCUCAUCCAUCUGUCCUCCUUGCCUUCAUCCCUACCCCUGCUUCCUAGAGAAGUGAUUUCCUAACCCCCAUUCAGUUUGUCCAACAUCAGAAGACAUUUUGAUGAUGGCAUUUUUUUCUUGUGACAGCAAUGUUUUCCAAAGGAAUUUGUCACUGAAAUAAGGGAAACAACAAAUCAUAGAUCUUUAGAGCUGGAAACCUACUUAAGUGCAUCCAAUUCAAUCCCGCCACUUUACUACAGGAGAAACUGAGGCCCAGAGAUUUGCCCAGUGGCAGUAGCAGUAGCACAGCAGUGGCACAGAGCCCCAGUGAGUUCCUCCCUGCCUGUCCUGUGUUCUGUGGGAAAACUCCAUUUCCUGCUGAAGAAUCCCUACUUCCACAGGGAGGGGCGUGGUGAGGUCCUCCAGCUGUGAUCAGGACAGGCCUUAACCUCCCUGAGGCUUUGGGACACUAACACCCACUCCUCAUGACUUACUGCCUGGACCAACUGACAAUGUGUGCAAGCACUUAGCAAGGUGCCAGGCACGGCAUGGGUGACUGUCACCAUCAUCACUGCUGCCAUCGGUGAUUUAAAUACACACACACACACAUCCUUCUUUCAUUCAGGGAAGUGUAUUUGAUUCAUUUUCAAGACAACAUUAGAAUACAUUCCCUAUUUUAGUAGCUUGAAACUUUCUACCACAUCCCAUCACAGCCAAAAAGACAUCCUAGUCAGUGUUUGCUCUUGGGAAUAAAGUGUCCCCAAUGUCCUCAGAAGACCUUAGAUCAGAAGACAUUCCUAUUUGCAACAGUGAUGAAAUUUUCAGAUAUUCCAAUAUAGGAUGCAGGGUAAGUCCUGGAGAAUACUGUGCUCCUCUGAGGCCAGAAACCCAGUGACUCCUCCCCUCAGGUGCUCCAUGGCAGGGUCAGGACUUUGGGGAGAAACGUUCUUGUAUGGGAAGAUGGAUCGAGCUGCGGGAGCAUAAGCGAUAACAAGGAAAGAAGCUCAGAUAAGGCCCAAAACUUCUCCAGUCACUGAAAUACCAGGCUCACAGUGGAGAGGGUAUGUAAACAAGAACGUCACAGAGCAGGAAGGGGGAAGGAAGGAAGAUAGGCAAGGAGACCCAAGAGCAAAGUCAUCAAUGAAAAACAUUUGGCAGAAAAUAUCCAAGAGAAAGAACAGUACAUGAACAGAAAGGGAGAAACAAAGCUCACCAGCAGCACAAGGUCAACAUGAGUAAGCUAUGUAAUAUGGCUGCUCAGAGGAGGGGGAAGAGGGGACAAUCAGGAAGAGGAGGGGGAGCAGGAGGGGGAAGGGGAAGAGCAGGGAGGAGGAGGACCAGGAGGAGGAGGGGGAGGAAGAGCACAGAGGAGGAGGCAGAGGAGGUGUAGGAGGAGGAGGGAUAGGAGCAGGAGGAGGAGAAGAAGGAGGCAAUGGAGGAGCAAAAGGAGUAGAAGGAGGAGGAGGAACACAGAGGGGGAGCAGGAGGGGAAGAAGAGGAGAGGAACAGGAAGAGAAGCACUAGCAGGAGGAGGGAGAGUGGGAGGAGCCAGAGGAGGAGGAUGGGGCAGGUAAUCUUGGGCUGCAUCAGUGGGAAUCCGCUGACUCUAAGAGGAAGCCUCUUACUGCCUGGGGUCCAGUUGGAGCUGAGGUAUCCUGGGUCAGGAAUAAACACUGAGGUUCACAUGGGAGUGGCCAGGACUGAGGGAGAGGGUGCAGAGACAAGGAUGGCUAACCUCAAGGAAGAUAAGUAAGAAGCACAAGAGCACUGUCUUCAAUACCAAGACAGACGUCCUAGGGAAGAGAGGACACGUUCCUCCUCUGAGGACAAAAUGAAGAGCGGCAGGUAGAAAAUAAAGACUGGCAGCUCUAAGAAAAACCUUCCUUCCAAUCAUAAUCUUC